AAGAAAACUAUUAUUCCCAUAUUUCAUCAUCCAGAUUCCUAUCUUCCAAUUUAAUAUACUAAAACAGAGACUAGAACAAAGAGUUUGAUGUCAAUUUUGUUUUAAAGUAAUUUAGAAAUAGAUAAUGUUAACUGAUGUUAUCAGCCAUCCAUGAACUCCCGUACUUAAGGCUCUAGGGCUAGAGUGACUGAGUGGAGGGAGUGAGGGAUGAGUGUGGUUUUGAACAUGUGUGUGUGGAACAUGUGUUGGAAAUGCACGGAGGACUUUUGGAAGUACUCUUCCUCUGCAGAUAAAAAUAGACAAAUUAACAGUAAUUAUUAUCUAUUUCCUCACAUAUUUUUAUUGUUCUUGUCCUCUCUGUUUUCUUGCUGAUUUUCUUUUACCAUGUGAACUGUAGAGACUGUGUACAUGAAACACACAUAAACUCCAGGUUAUAAUAUUCCUUUUAAUGUGGCUUCACAGACGAUAAGGAAAAAGAAACGGGUUUGCAAAUUUCGCAGACACAGGCAUAGAUGGUGACAGUAUAACCAGCGUCUUUUAUACUAAAUACUUGCUACACCUGUGGUUGCAUAGUAAAAUUUGACAGCUUUGUUGACAGUCAAAACUUAGCAUUUCUAUUUUUCUAUAUUUCUUUUACAACAGUGACUAAAGAAUAAUGUUAAAAGCCAUAGGUUGGAGAAAAGGUAUUACCAAGACCCUCACCAUUACCUGACCUGAUGCAAGAACGAGAAAAAACAAUCGGCUCUUCAUUCCUUUUGUUGUGGCUCCAAGCUCUCAAUUUCACAAACCCAAAUAAAUCCUGGGAGUGACAGCACAUAGGCUGCGGGCUGCGGGCUCUUCCUGCCGCCGCGAUCCCCUGGGAGGAAGCAGGCGGCUCCGCCCCUCGGGGGACUCGGAGGCCCCCCAUCCCGCUGAACCCCCUCUGCCCGCCGCCGCCGCGCGGGGUGCCGGGCCGCCCGCUGCUCCCGCCGCGGAAAGGACCCCGCAGCCCGCGCCCCGCCGGGAGCUCAGGGCUCCCCUGCCCUCUCCGCUCUGGGCUUUGGAGUACUGAGAGGAGGGGCCGCGGGAAGGCCGGCGCCGGGCGCCCAGAGAGUCGCCAGCACUCAUCCCGCCUUCGGGAAUUGCCACCGCUGAGCCCCGGGUAGUAGGUAACCUUGUGCUACCUGGGCCUCAGGUGAGGCGGGAUGCAGGAGCCUCGGUCCCGGGGGCGCCGGGCUGGCUGCUCCUUCGCCCCGAGGCCCAGCUUGUCCGGGCGCGAUGUCCUUGCCCCGGGGCCGGGCGCCCCGUCUUCCUCUCACCGAGACGGGUGCCCCUCCGCGUGCCGCCCGGCGCCGCGCACGCCUUCGUCAGUGCCCACGGGGCCGCCGGGUCAGAGCGCCCCGGGGGGGGGUCGGGGACGGGGGGCAGAAACCUUCCACACAGACGUUCGCGGGGCUCCUUCCUCUGCCCCCCGCCGGGCGGACGCAGCGCCGGAGACCCGGGCCGCGAGGCUGGCAAUUACCCCGCGGCUGCAGGCGGCGCGGGUCGCGUCGCCCGCGCCCCUCAGGCCAGGACGCCAGCCGGUCAGCGUCGCCCCGCGCCCGCCGCGAGCCUGGGGCCGCAAACGGUCCGCAGCGACGCCCCGGCCAUGCUGCUGCUGCUCGGCCUGCUCGGCCUGCUCUCCGGGCUGGCGCCGUCGCCCGCCCGUCUGGAGACUGAAGGAAUAUUCCUGCAUGUCACGGUUCCACGGAAAGUAAGGUCAAACCAGAGUGUUGAUUCAGAAAAGCAGGUGAUUUAUAUCAUUACAAUUGAUGAAAAAACAUACACUCUGCAUCUCAGAAAACACUCAUUUUUAUCCCAGAACUUUGUGGUUUAUUCAUAUAAUGAAACUGGAUUUUUGCAUUCUGAAUCUUCAUAUUUUAAGAUGCAUUGCCAUUACCAAGGAUAUGUUUCCAAUUUUCCAUACUCAGCUGCAAUGCUCAGUAUCUGCUCUGGACUCAGGGGAUUCCUUCAGUUUGAAAACAUCACCUAUGGAAUUGAGCCAUUGGAAUCUUCAGCAAGAUUUGAGCACAUAAUUUAUCAAGUGAAAAAUGGAAAUCCAGAUAUACCAAUGCUAGCAGAAAAUUAUAGCUAUAUUUGGCAGAAAGACCAACCCUACAAAAUUCAUUUAAGCUCACAGCAAAAAAUUAUUUCAAAACUAUUACCUCAAUAUCUAAAAAUGCACAUCAUAGUGGAAAAAGCUUUGGCAAGUAUGAAAAAGGCUGCAGUGAACUUGGGAGUGCAGAUCGCCCUCCUGACAGUGUAUGAUUAUAUGGGAUCAGAAAUGAUGGCUGUAACACAGAAAAUUAUCCAGAUUAUUGGCCUUGUCAACACUAUGUUUUCUCAGUUCAAACUGACUGUGAUAUUGUCUUCUUUGGAACUGUGGAGAGAUAAAAACCAAAUUCCUACCAGUGGGGAUGCUGAUGAUUUAUUACAGAGAUUUGUGACAUGGAAACAGGGCUCUCUUACCCUACGGCCCCACGACACAGCAUUCUUGCUUAUUUACAGGAAACAUCCUAAAUAUGUGGGAGCAACAUUUCCUGGCACAAUAUGCAAUAAAAGCUAUGAUGCAGGUAUUGCUAUGUAUCCAGAUGCAAUAACUUUGGAGGGAUUUUCAGUUAUUAUAGCUCAACUACUUGGCCUUAAAAUUGGAUUAACAUAUGAUGACAUCAAUAAGUGUUCUUGUCCAAGAGCUACGUGCAUAAUGAAUCAUGAAGCAUUGGGAUCCAGUGGUAUAAAGAUUUUUAGCAACUGUAGCAUGCAUGACUAUAGAUAUUUUAUUUCAAAACUUGAGGGUAAAUGUCUUCAGAACUUACCAAAGUUGCAACCAUCAUAUCAAAAUCAAUCAGUGUGUGGUAAUGGGAUUCUGGAACCUGACGAAGAAUGUGACUGUGGCAGUGAAGCGGAAUGUCUAUUUAAGGAGUGCUGUGAUUACAAAACAUGUAAACUGAAAGGCUCAGCAAAAUGUGGUUCUGGACCAUGCUGUACUUCAAGCUGUGAGAUAUCAGUGGUGGGCACUCCAUGCAGAAAGAGUGUUGAUCAAGAGUGUGAUUUCACAGAGUACUGCAAUGGGACCUCCAGUACUUGCGUUCCGGACACCUACGCGCUCAAUGGCCAGCUGUGCAGGUCGGAGACCGCGUUCUGCUAUGACGGACGGUGCCAAACUGCUGAUAAACAGUGUGCCCAGAUAUUUGGAAAAGGUGCUCAAGGAGCUCCGUUUGCCUGUUUUGAAGAAGUUAAUUCUCUGCAUGAUAGUUCUGGAAAGUGCGGUUUUAAAAAUUCACAACCAUUGCCUUGCAAACAGAAGGAUGUUCUCUGUGGAAAACUAGCUUGUGUUUGGCCACAUAAGAAUACUUACAAAAAUGAUGUUCAAUCUGCAGUUUAUUCAUAUACUCAAGGGCACGAAUGCCUCUCUGUAACUACAGGGUCAUUAGUGAGAUCAGAUGGAAGAGGUCAUGCCUAUGUAGCUGAUGGCACUAUCUGUGGUGCGCAAAUGUAUUGUGUAAAUAAAACCUGCAAGGAAGUUCAUUUAAUGGGAUAUAACUGUAAUGCCACUACAAAAUGCAAAGGGAAUGGGUAAUUCAGCCAUUGUGCCAGAAAACCAUGACCUGGACUAUGCCAAGAAGUUGACCAGCAAAUGUCCUGUUUCCAGAGAAUACGCUGGAACAUCACUUCUGCAAGUUACAGAACCACAGAAGAUCGAGACACACACCAG